rnacentral:rRNA from 1 species
GACGAACGCUGGCGGCGUGCCUAAUACAUGCAAGUUGAGCGAUGAAGAUUGGUGCUUGCACCAAUUUGAAGAGCAGCGAACGGGUGAGUAACGCGUGGGGAAUCUGCCUUUGAGCGGGGGACAACAUUUGGAAACGAAUGCUAAUACCGCAUAACAACUUUAAACAUAAGUUUUAAGUUUGAAAGAUGCAAUUGCAUCACUCAAAGAUGAUCCCGCGUUGUAUUAGCUAGUUGGUGAGGUAAAGGCUCACCAAGGCGAUGAUACAUAGCCGACCUGAGAGGGUGAUCGGCCACAUUGGGACUGAGACACGGCCCAAACUCCUACGGGAGGCAGCAGUAGGGAAGCUUCGGCAAUGGACGAAAGUCUGGCCGAGCAACGCCGCGUGAGUGAAGAAGGGUUUCGGAUCGUAAAACUCUGUUGGUAGAGAAGAACGUUGGUGAGAGUGGAAAGCUCAUCAAGUGACGGUAACUACCCAGAAAGGGACGGCUAACUACGUG